ensembl:lncRNA
ACCCAUAGCGUUUCUAUUUUUGGAGAGCUGGCGAGCGCUCCGGAAACUGAAUCUCAGCAAGCUUUCAGCUGACGUGGACACUGCUGGUCUGGGCUGGCUCUUUGAGAAUCACUGGUUUAGCUCAUUCCCUUCAGUCGACAUAAUCAUCCUGUAGAAGAUAGUACGUUUCAGCCUCUACUAAUCAAGUGGAUUGAGGGAAAAUUCCCCUGAAUCUAUUAAGGGAUAGUUCUACAUUAAUUCACCUUUGUCAGUGUGUCCAUGCUUGUUGAAAUCGUGGAGAUAGAAAAGUGUAAAGAGAAGAUAGGUUUCAAAUCAGGAAACCUCAGAGAACUCAUAAUGAUCUUCCAGCUGGCUGUCAUUCUCGAAGGUGCAUCUCGCAUUAUUCUGAAUUCUGUUGUCUGCUGUAACUCAACUCCUUUUUCUUCCACUGAAGACUAUUGGAAUGCGGGUGAGUAUUGGAAUGAACUAUUGAGUAUUUCACUAUUCCAAAUACUGAAUUCUCCAUAGUGAAUAUUGGAAUGAGUUAUUGGAAUGCAGGUGAGAAGGAAUGAUUAUUCUAGGAGUGCCCUUGUAUCUCUUCUGGUUGACAUACAAAGUGAAACACUCAGAAGCCUUGUCACUUUAUCACAGGAUAGAAACUAUUGACCUCUUUUACUUUCUGUCUUGCAGAAAUAGUCAUGGUGAAUCGGUGAAUCUCAUUGAUUUAUAAUGUGUUAGUUUCUGCUGUACAGCAAAAGUGAUUCCGUUUUGUAUAUAUAUAUGUGUGUGUAUAUACAUAUAUAUAUUCCUUUCCAUUAUGGUUUACUACAGGAUAUUGAAUAUAGUUCCCUAUACUAUAUAGUAGGGUUUCCCUGAUAAUUCAUUUGGUAAAGAAUCCACCUGCAAUUCAGGAAACCCCAGUUCGAUUCCUAGACCGGGAAGAUCCGCUGGGGAAGGGAUAGGCUACUCACUCCAGUAUUCUUGGGCUUCCCUUGUGGCUUAGCUGGUAAAGAAUCUGCCUGCAAUGUGGGAGACCUGGGUUUGAUCCCAGGGUUGGGAAGAUGCCCUGGAGAAGGAAAAGGUACCGUUUAACUAUAAUAUUCCUUUCCAUUAUGGUUUAUUAAGGAUAUUGAAUAUAGUUCCUUGUGCUAUAUGGUAGGACCUCAUUGCUUAUCCAUUCCAUAUAUAAUAGUUUGCAUCAGCUAAUCCCAAAUUCCCAAAUAGAAACAUUUUCACCUUCACCAGCACUUUUGGGUUUUCGAAAUGCCUUCAUGUCUGGAAAACUUCUUGUGUUUUUUUUUUUUUUUUUAAGCUACUGUCCAUAUUUUCUGGAUGAAGAACCUAAGGCAGAGAAAAAGUUAGCUGACUUAUUCUAGGUCAUACAGUAAAUGAGCGGUAAAGCCAGAACCUUAAUCACGCUAAUGGAUUUUAAAUCCAGUAUGUGUUCUAAGACCCUAUCUUGCCUCUCCUUAUUCCUUUUCACUGAGUGAUGCUUUUCGGCUUCUCCCAUUUUACCACAGAUCACGCCGUGCUUACCGGUGGUCUACAUUUAGGUUGUUCCUUAUAUACCUAAACUUCAUUCCCCUUCAAAAUUCUGUUGAGUAUUUCUUUUUCCCUUUCACAGAGCUUUCAUCUUUAGUAGCUUUGCCAUUUGUAAAAAAUGUUAGCAAAUAAACCGUCCCUACUAAGGGCUUUAGCCUGGUAAUGAUUUUCUCUCCCAGGUAAGUUUUUACUUUAAGGAGUAAUAGCAUGACUGAAAGUUUCAGGUAAUUUGAAAAUUAAUAAGAUUAUGUACCUAUUGUGACUGUAAUGACUGGGAGUAUGUGGUGAUUGAUCUCUAUAUAAAUUAAAAUGAAAUAAGCCAAAAUUUUAAGAGAAUAUUUUGGUUAUUAUCUGUGAUCUCCUUCCUCCAUGAUCCAGUCAACUUCAUAAUGAACUAUCAGGACAGGUACUGUGUCUUCUUGUUCAGUGUUCUUUGCCUGGAAUAUAGCACAGUGCAUGGAACAUACUUGUUGAAUGAAUGAAUUUAAGCAAUAUUGCCAACAAUCCGCUUGAUGAUAACCAUAGAAGGAAGAUGUAGGACAUAUAAAAACUGAUAUUACGAUAAUGUAGUUAUAAAACAUGUGAUUCUCAGAGGUGAGACUAAUUAGGUGUGUUUGGUAGGACUGACUAAAUUAUUCUGCAGUAAUAGCAGUCCCUGAAUCUUGCUGGUUUAUGACAACACUCAUAAUACAUGUUGUUUGAAGGUUGACUAGGAGCUCUGUUGCAUAUUGUCCUCACUCUGGGAUCCAAGCUGAAGGAGCAGCCACUCACCCUAUGGAACCCUGUCAGUUGUGGCAAAGGGAAAGAAGAGCUCGAGGGUCCCACAUCAGUAUUUAAAUGUACUGACCAGCAAGAGACACACAUAAAUUUUAUUCACAGCUCUUGGGCAGAAGUAAUCCCAGAAACCGUAAGGGGGCAGAGAUGCAAUUCUACCCCAUGUCCACAAGGCGGAGGACCUGAAACAGCUGUGAACUGCACUAAUCAUUACCAUACUGGAGAAUGGUAUUCAUCUUGUGUGUAAGCUGUAUCUGAGGUGUGUAUUUUCCCAUAGCAAAAAUUAAGUAUGUCUGUUUUUUGACCAUUUUCUAUGGAUUGGGCAUUGUGCCAGUGAUUUACAUACAUUUCCUUCUAAUUCAUACAACAGUUAUGAGAGGGAGCAAAUAUUAAUUCUCUAUAUAGAUGAAGAAGCUGAAGUGAAGUGAAUAUUCUGCCCAUUUAGUGAGGAGUGGGGUUCAUGUUAGAGCUCAGGUCUUCCGGACUCCACAGAUGAUGCCCUUGACAGUCAUGCAGUGUUGUUUUGCUGUAAUACCUAUAUGUUUGCCUUUAGUGGUGAUUUUCACCAGAUUCCUGAAUGUCCUUUUAUCCAUAAUGCUGAGCUAGCAUGCUUCUGGUCAACUGAAAGUUGAAAAUCAACACUCUGUUCUUGCUACCGAGACUAAGACUAUAUUUCUGAUUUAAAAGGAGAGUUACCAUGAGACCAUUCAGAUAAAUGAACAGUCAAGAUUGAUUAAACUCAUGAGACCAAUUGUGUUAUUCUGAUAAAAUCAAGUUCUAGAUCCUGUUUCUAUUGAUUGUUUAAAAUGCUGGGUCAGUGCUUGAAAAUUGCAAAUGAUAGCCCCAACGUAUUUACUGUGCUCUAAUUAUUCUCUUAAAAUUGAAACUGCCUUGUGGAAAUAUUGUUUCCAGGCUUUCAAAAUAAAUAGUAACUUCAUACUUAGGUUUCUUUUUUUUCCUGCAGAACUUGUCUUCUGUGAAGGACAAGCAUUUUUUUUUUUCUGUAUGAAAAGUUUUCAAGAUUACUUUUGGCAUCAUCUUUCAUACUAUUGCAGAUUCUUUGAAACAGAACAUUAAUUUUUGGUUGAGUGAGGGCAUCUCUUUUCUCCCUGUCUCGUAUUUCCAAGCCUUUAUGAACUAGGAUAGCUCUGCCUGGCCUCUCUUCCCUUUUCGCGUCGCUCCUCGGUGGAGGAGUCAACAUCAUAUUCAUGUGCAGGGGAGGAUGAGAAGGACACAUGAAGUGUAACCACUUCCCCUUUACUUUUUGUGGCAUCUGCCAGCUUGUAGAGAUCCUGUUUUCAUAUUUCUUCAAUUCUAAGACACAUUUUAAAAAAUAUUUAUUUUUAAAUUGAAGGAUAAUUGCUUUACAAUUUUUUUUUUUCUGUCAAACAUCAACAAGUAUCAGCCAUGGGUACACUCAUGUUCCCCUCCCUCCCAUCUCCCUCCCCAUUCCACCCUUCUAGAUUGUCACAGAGCCCCUGUUUGAGUUCCCUGAGGCAUAUAGUAGGUUCCCAGUGGCUGUCUGUUCUACAUAUAGUGUUGUAAGUUUCCAUGUUACUUUCUCCAUACAUCUCACCCUCUCCCUCCUCCCCUCCUGCCAUGCCCAUAAGUCUCUUCUCUAUGUCAGUUCAGUUCAGUCGCUUAGUCGUGUCCGACUUUUUGCAACCCCAUGAAUUGCAGCAUGCCAGGCCUCCCUGUCCACCACCAACUCCCGGAGUUCACUCAGACUCAUGUCCAUGGAGUCGGUGAUGCCAUCCAGCCAUCUCAUCCUCUGUCGUCCCCUUCUCCUCCUGCCCCCAAUCCCUCCCAGCAUCAGAGUCUUUUCCAAUGAAUCAACUCUUUGCAUGAGGUGGCCAAAGUACUGGAGUUUCAGCUUUAGCAUCAUUCCUUCCAAAGAAAUCCCAGGGCUGAUCUCCUUCAGAAUGGACUGGUUGGAUCUGACACAUUAAAAAAAAAAACCCUAAUUUUAUUGAAGUAUAGUUGAUUUACAGUGUUGUGAUAGUUUCUGCUGUACAGCAAAAUGAUUCAGUUAUACAUAUAUAUAUAUAUAAGCAUAUAUUCCUUUUCAUAUUCUUUUCCAUUAUGGUUUACCUUGGGAUAUUGACUAUAGUUCCCUAUACAGUAGGACCUUGUUUGUCAUUCUGUGUACAGUAGUUUGCGUCUGCUAAUUCCAAACUCAAUCCAUCAUUCCCCUCCCCCUUGGUAAACACAAGUCUGUUCUCUAUGCCAAGACACACUUUUAAAAUAACUGAGCAUCUCUGAAUAAACAUACAUCUUAUGACUAAUGGCAGGUCCUAGUUUAAAUGAUAGACAGGGUUCAUUUCUUU